rnacentral:rRNA from 1 species
CCUACGGGAGGCAGCAGUGGGGAAUAUUGCACAAUGGGCGCAAGCCUGAUGCAGCAACGCCGCGUGAGGGACGACGGCCUUCGGGUUGUAAACCUCUUUUAGUAGGGAAGAAGCGAAAGUGACGGUACCUGCAGAAAAAGCACCGGCUAACUACGUGCCAGCAGCCGCGGUAAUACGUAGGGUGCAAGCGUUGUCCGGAAUUAUUGGGCGUAAAGAGCUCGUAGGCGGUUUGUCGCGUCUGCUGUGAAAACCCGAGGCUCAACCUCGGGCCUGCAGUGGGUACGGGCAGACUAGAGUGCGGUAGGGGAGAUUGGAAUUCCUGGUGUAGCGGUGGAAUGCGCAGAUAUCAGGAGGAACACCGAUGGCGAAGGCAGAUCUCUGGGCCGUAACUGACGCUGAGGAGCGAAAGCAUGGGGAGCGAACAGGAUUAGAUACCCUGGUAGUCCAUGCCGUAAACGUUGGGAACUAGAUGUAGGGACCAUUCCACGGUUUCUGUGUCGCAGCUACGACUAUUAACGUUACCCGUCCGUCGGGUAGGUACGGCCGCCGACGGACGUAAACGUAACGAAAGAAGUAGACGGACGUGAGACGUGACCGAACGACGACGACGAGGGAGUAGG